AAGUUUGAUGCUGCAGUCUGCUUUCAGGAAAAGUUUCCGCUGAAGAGCAUUUGACCAUUGUGGAACUGGACCUUCCCAAUGCAAAUACACCUGUGAAAAUCAAGCUUACAUGAAAGAUAUGGCCAUCACCAGAGGAAACAGAUGACCUUGACAGCAGGAGGCAGCCUUCUGCAAUGAGCAACUUCUGAGCGCAAGUCUGUGCAGUGCCUGAGCUCAAAAUGUCUGCAGUGUGGGUGGCUGGAAUGACGAAGAGAAACCCCAGCCCUUCUGGAGCUGGGAGCAGACUUCCAGUGGCCUAGCUUAAGGCAGAAACUGUAGGAAAGACCAGUCUAAUGGUGCCCAGUCAUCAUGUCCCAGCUCUGUUCCAUCUGAAUUUCACAAUGUGGUUUGAGAUGUCUCUCAAGAGAGAAAGAUAUGCUGUCUACCUAAAGACUGAAUCAUUCUCCAGAAAUGCUUAUUUCUCUUUGUCUGAUAAAAUGCCUUUAAAUUAGUGCCCUUAUAUAGAUAUGAUUCAUCUGGCUUGAUAUCUUUUUUUUAGAGCUCUAGAAAUAGUUUGCGCUUUAUUAUUGUUAUUUUCUAUUAUUCUGAAAUCUUCAUUUUCUUUUGCUCUUGCUAUCUUCCUCUGCAUUACUUCUAUGUUCCUCAGCAGAGAUCCUUUGAGAAUAGCUGUUUCCAUCACCCCUAUGGAACAAACUGCCAGACUUUUCCUGCCAUCGUUUUCCACUUCUGAUGCAACUGCUCUUCCUUUUCCAUUGCAACUAAGCUAAUAAAAGAGUAGGUCAUGUGACAACUCCCUUAAAUUCACCCGGUGCAAAGCGAGCCGCAGGCAUUCAGUGUCUUGCAAAAUCAAGUCCAUAAUACAUCCUGUCUAUGACCUCUAGUAACAAAAGCCUUAAUUUGCUUUAUUUUUCUUUUGCAAAUGGAAACAUAACACAUAUAUUAGAUUUUCUCAUUUAUUCCAGCGUAGAUGCACUGAACAGAGAAAAGAAGCAAGCUGGCCAAAAAAAAUUAUUAACAAUUUUGACAGAAAAGGCUAUUUCUAGAGAUUCUUAAUAUUUUAAAAAUUAAGAAAAUACAUGGAAAUUAUCUGAAAAAUUUCAUUAUUGUUCCAUUUUUUUGGUUUUCCCCAUUUUUGACCAUAUUUAAGCAAUUCUUCUUAUCCUCUUUCAAAUGAAAAAAAAGCACAGAAAAACACAGGGAAAAGUAUGGAGGAAGAGGAUAAAAAAGUCUGGAAGCUAAAUAUAUUCAUUAACUUCAUCAAAAACAUUCCAGUUCUAUAAACUUCCAUUUUAAACAAGGUUCAGUCUCCAUAAAAAUGGAUUUAAUAAUUGAACUAUUUCUGACCAGUACUUUGACACAUUAAAAUGAGAUUCACCAAAUGUGAACAGCAUUUGAAGAAAAUAACUUCAGCAAUGAAUUCUUGAAAGAUAGAUCAAAACACCCUCAUGGAGGGCAGUGUGGAGGUGGAUGGAAAUGGUUUGCACAGCUCUUUCCUGAACUGAGUAGAUUUAGAAGGUGGACACUAUGAAAAGAGCACAUGGCAAGGCAGCCUGAAGGCAGAGUAGGUGAAAAAACAAGAUAUUGGUCUUGUUCUACCUGAGUCACAGAUAGGUCUUAUUAUGACAAUAAUAAUAUUUCUUUCAAUAUUUUUAUAUCUUGCAUGUAGACACAUGAAGAAUUUGGUUUAAAUAUAAAUAACUUAGUAGGAGCAAUAAAAAACUCUUUCUGUCAUCUAUAAGCAGAUUUAUCAAGCCAUCUAAAUAGUAUAAUGAAGAAAUAUAUGCUUUCCGAUAUGUUACCCCACCUAAGUCAUGAGGGGAAAAAUGGAGCCACUAAUGCAGUUAGAUGCAACAUAUUGAUGGCACAGUGUAAUUUAUUUAUUGUGCACAUGCACUUUUCCCUCUAUAAAACAGUAGGGGUGUCUGACUAAAUCCAUUAUGUAAAUCUCAGCAUCUUUUCACUUGCACUGAGAAACCAUUAUUUUUCUUUGAUGCUUUUAUAGUCAUUUUUGCCUGAACUUGAUACAAUUAAAAUCCAAGUGCCCUACAAUUCUGUAAGCACUACAAUUAGGCAGCUGAUUUGAAAUAAAAAUAAAGCACAAAUGAGGCACAAAGGUGUUUCUGUAAGUGUUUGGUAUCAGAGAUCUUAAUUCACAUUCAAAAUUAAAUUGUUUAUAAUCAGCAAUAGACCAGUGUAUUCAGGAAUAAAAAUAGAAUACAGAAAUAUAAUAGAAAUACAGAAUACAAAAUAAAAUUAAAAAAUACUGUUGGUGGAUAAGAAAAUAACUGUGUUGGUGCCUCACUUUCUCUGAAGAGGUUUAAGACCCUAGACAGCUCUUGCUAUUGUCUUUGACUUAGUUACAUUGUCCUCAACAUCCUGCUCUGGCUAUUCCCUCAGGGCAGUUGUGCAUAGAGGAUCAAAUUUCCAAGACAAUUUGUCUUAUGUAGCUGUGAUAUAGCUAAAGAGCUGAGAAAUAGAUUUGAAAGUACAUGUAACUAGGAACAUAUAUCCUUUCCUCUUCAGCAGCGUUUUUGCUGGUACAUAUAGCUAAGUGUGUCCUUGAAGCUUUUGAAAAGUGCUAAAUACACCUUCAUCAAAAGCACCUUAACAACUAAAUCAGAACCAGCUAAAUUUAAAGUCUAGGUCCCAAUUUCAGAAUCAAUUUAGAAACUUCAUUCAAACAUUUUAAGAGCAUAAACACAACUAUAGGUGGUCAGAACAAGCAUCUUUGUCGGUUCUUAGUAUGCCUCUAGAGUGGCUUAAUGUGGAAGCCUAAGGAACAGUAUCAGCUAGUGUUAGGCUCCUUGACUCCUGAAAUAUUUUCUUCAAUGUAAGUUAAUCUUUCAAAUAAUUAAUUAACCACAGUGCCAUGACUUAACAAGUUCCCAUAUGAUCAUUGAAACUUAGCAACUGAUCAUAGAAUCAUAGAGUGGCUUGAGUCAGAAGAGAUCUUAAGAUCAUCUGGUUCCAACUUCCCUGCCAUGGACAGGAAUGCCACCCACUAGAUUAGGUUGGUCAGGGCCCCAUUACUAUUACUUUUGAACACUUCCACAGAUGGGGCAUCCACAACUUCUCUGGUCAAUCUGUUCCAGUGUCUCACCAUCCUCACAAGAGAGAAUUUCUUCAUAAUAUCUAAUCUAAACCUACCCUCUUUCAGUGUAAAGCCAUUACCCAUUGUUCAAUCACUUGUAAAAAGUGAUCCUUAAUCCUUGUAUAAAGUCCCUCUCCAGCUCUUUUGUAGACCCCCUUUAGGUACUGGAAAGCUGCUAUAAGGUCUCUGCAGAACUUUAAUGAUCUCAUGCAUGGUCUUGUCUCAAUGAAGGCAACUAAUAAAACUUCUUGGUUUAAAUCUCGGUGGAAGCCACAUGAGGUUGAGGAUUAGCCUCAGAUCUCAUUCUGUAACUAGGUGAGUUACAAGAAUGCAGUCCUAUGCCUGAGAAUGAUGGGGAUCUUUACUUAAGCAUAUUUGUAGAAAAUGUCAGGAUGCUUGGCCUAGAAAGUCCCAUUAUGUCUGAAACAAAGGAACUUCUAGAACUGAGCUCUGCUGGAAAUCUGCCUGCAACUUCAGAUGCCAACUAGCUGAAAAACCAGCUUCUGAUAGCAAACUAGGCAUCUGUCUUUUAUUCAUCAUCAGAGGUCUCUAACAACAUAAGGAUAAAUAGCUUUACAGCAGACAUAGCAUUGCUCUAAUCAGAGAAAUAUUUCAGUAUGAGAAGCCUACUCACAGAAUCAUAAAAAAAAAUAAAACUGGAAGGUGUUUUAAGAGAUUGCCUAGUUUAUCUAUCCUGCAUCCUGAUGGAUGUUUGUCUGGAUGGUAUUUAAAACUUCCAGCAGCAGAUACUCUGCAGCUUCUCUAGACAGUCUGUCCCAGAGCUUCACUAUCUAUUGAGUGCAUUUUUCCCAAAGUUGGGCCUAUCUAUCACUUGCUGCAAUUUAGCCCCUUUUUUUUUUAAUCUUAUCUACUGUAGACUGACAGAAUAAUUUAUUUCUUUAUUUGGAGAAUGGUAUAAAAUCUAAGGUAAAAUCUCCGUUCUCCUUUUUUUAGCUGCACAGCCUCUGUUCUGGCAUUUAAAACACUUCGGAUGUACAGUCUGAACGGAUGGGUGUCAGCAGAGCAUUAACGUCAUGGGAACAGCAUUUUGAUGGCUUAUUUAUAUGAGGUCCUUACAUGCAAUUCUUACUGUUGGAGCAGAUAGUCUUCCAGAGGUGAAAUUAUAAGUAGAAAUAAUUAAUCUAUGAUUUAGAAAAUCCAGCAUCUCACAAAUAGAUGAUACAUAAAAGUAGAAGUUUCACCUGGCAUUAUUGCCAACAAAAAUAUCUUAACAGCUGUAUCAAUUUGGAAAAAAAAAAUAAACCCAAACUUCGGUAACUGCAGGUUGUGUAUCAAGCAAGUUCAAACAUUAAUUUAAUGUGGUAAAAAAGGUAUCUGGAAAUGUAAUGAACUUCAUUGUUAUAUUAAUAUUACAUUAACUGAGAGCAAAGCAGUCAGACGUUUCACUGCUAUAGAAAUUUGCAUGUCAGAGAUAUGUAGAGAAUAAAAGAUAAUUCAUAACUGAGCCAAUAGUCUCAGUAAGCUUAGUCAAAUGAUGAGUUAGGACACUAAACAUACCAUAGUUUCAGUACAUAAUUAAUACAGAAUGCUGAAGAAUACUAAGUUUGGACUAAAUGUUCAUUUUAUUAAAAAUGGAUGAAUGCAGUCAUGGAACAAAAUUAUUCAUUAAAUCAUUUUUUAAUGCAGGUAUGAGAAUGACAUAUAAGUCUGAAAAGCUCUCAGUGAUGAGCUGUGCCUUGGAUUCCUUAAAGUGAAUAUCCAGACUUGCAUACCAAAGUAGAGGGUUAUCAGUUUUGUCCUUGAACACAUACAAGCACAUGCAUCAGAUGGAUGAAAACCCCAUUUGGAUGCAAUGUAGAAUGACAAAUCUUAGCUCUUUCAUGGUACUGGCAUUACCUAUGCCAGAAUAACUGCAAACUUAAUGGCGUUGGAAACCAGGGAAUGUUUGGUUUGGCUGCACAAAGUAAGGGUACUUGUGAUUUCCCUAAGCCUUGUUUAGUUUACAGCUCAGGAAUCUGAGUACCUUCCAAGCUAGUAUCAGCUAUUUCCUUCAGAUCCUUAUGGAAGAGAUACUGCAGGAUGGACUCAGUGCUGUGAAGGUAUUAGAAAAUACCUUUGCCAAAUCUGGGGACAUGUUUUCAUCUUUUUAAGUGUGGUUAUGGGAAACCUCAGUAUCUCCAGUAUCACCAAUCUCUUGGUGGAUUUGCUUUAAAAAUAAGUUGCAUCUUUCAUCUGACUGGAAAGACUGUAUUGCUUUUUUUCAUAAAGAAGAGUCUUCUGUUGAAAAUCCAGCCUUUGAAAAGUUUUCAAUGACUUAUUACUCUCCUUAACUUAUCUGUGUAUCUUUCUAACUAUUUGUCAUGUUUAGAGCUCAUUUUGUACCAAGCAAGUAAGCAUUUCCUUUUUGAACUAUUAUAUCCCGUCUUCAAGCUCUCAUUUCCUGAUAUUUCUUGGUAAUUUUUUAAUACUUUGUCCACAUGGUCAGGUAACUCCAUAUUUCUUCACUGGAAGUCUGUUUUACUUGCUGUGUGACAAGGAUACCUGCUGGCACACACAUCACACAAUUUAGUGGUGAUUUGUACCACAUCAUAUUUCUUGAUAAGACGUACUGGAAUUUUCUCCUCUUUAACAUACCAUCUCCUGAAGGAUACUUUUCCCAUGAUAUGUGAUUUCAUAAACAGUUUCAUAGGUAAUUUUUGGUACAGUAUUAUUCUUAGUGUUCUCUGAGCAAGCUUCAUUCAAGUCAUACCCACUAUGAUAAUGAUAAAUAUGACUCUGCCCAUUGCAAGUUGGAUACAAUGUCUGAUAUUAAUCCUACAGUAUCACCACACCAUUUCUGGCAGUGUUUGAUCCCCACAUCUAGACGCAAUAACAAAUCUGUCAUUGGUGACUUGGUUACCACCACUGAUCUUAUUACUUGAUACAACCUGCAGGUGAACUCUUAGGAACAUUCAUGUCACCUUUUACACACAGCAGCCUUAAACCACCUGCUUUCUGUAGAAAUCGAUCAUUUUCAUCUGCCAUAACUAUACAAUAUGGAUAGAAACAUCCAUUCUGAUCUUGAAGGUCAUAAUUUAUACCCUUUUGAAUGACUGAGUUUGUGAAUUUGGCUUGAUUCUGUCAGUUACUUUGAAAUAUCAGAAACCACUUGAAAACAAAGCAAUUGAAUAAAGCUGAAGUCAGCCUGUUCUUCUGUGGCAGCAUUUUCAGCUUGUUCAGCAAAAUGUACUUGCACUCCAUCACAGCACAAAUACUUCAGUGGCAAGAUAAUGUAACUACCAUGGGCUCUGUUUAGUGUUAUAAUUUCAUUGGGAUUUUUCAGUUUUUUCCUUUCUUUGAAAACUUGGCACAUCAUCCAUAUAUUUUGUGAUUUUCUAUUUUCUUUUUGGAAAAUAAUAUGAAGCCUGAAGAAGCUUGCUGCCUGUUAAAUUUGUCUC